rnacentral:tRNA from 1 species
UGCUUCGGUAGCUCAGUUGGUAGAGCACUUGCCCGCGGAAGGCAAAGGUCCCGAGUUCGAGUCUCGGUCGAGCAC